rnacentral:rRNA from 4 species
UGGGGAAUCUUCCGCAAUGGACGAAAGUCUGACGGAGCAACGCCGCGUGAGUGAUGACGGCCUUCGGGUUGUAAAGCUCUGUGAUCGGGGACGAAUGGCUGGUAUGCUAAUACCAUAUCAGAGUGACGGUACCCGAAUAGCAAGCCACGGCUAACUACGUGCCAGCAGCCGCGGUAAUACGUAGGUGGCAAGCGUUGUCCGGAAUUAUUGGGCGUAAAGCGCGCGCAGGCGGCUUCUUAAGUCCAUCUUAAAAGUGCGGGGCUUAACCCCGUGAUGGGAUGGAAACUGGGAGGCUGGAGUAUCGGAGAGGAAAGUGGAAUUCCUAGUGUAGCGGUGAAAUGCGUAGAGAUUAGGAAGAACACCGGUGGCGAAGGCGACUUUCUGGACGACAACUGACGCUGAGGCGCGAAAGCGUGGGGAGCAAACAGG